UGCAGUCGAACGUGAAAGCACUUCGGUGUGAGUAGAGUGGCGGACGGGUGAGUAACGCGUGGGAAUCUGCCCAGUAGUGGGGGACAACUACCGGAAACGGUAGCUAAUACCGCAUACGCCCUAUGGGGGAAAGGCUUCGGCCGCUAUUGGAUGAGCCCGCGUCAGAUUAGCUAGUUGGUAGGGUAAAGGCCUACCAAGGCAACGAUCUGUAGCUGGUCUGAGAGGACGAACAGCCACACUGGGACUGAGACACGGCCCAGACUCCUACGGGAGGCAGCAGUGGGGAAUAUUGGACAAUGGGCGAAAGCCUGAUCCAGCAAUGCCGCGUGUGUGAAGAAGGCCUGCGGGUUGUAAAGCACUUUCAGUUGGGAAGAUGAUGACGUUACCAACAGAAGAAGCACCGGCUAAAUCCGUGCCAGCAGCCGCGGUAAUACGGAUGGUGCGAGCGUUAAUCGGAAUUACUGGGCGUAAAGCGCGCGUAGGCGGCUAAGUCAGUCAGAAGUGAAAGCCCCGGGCUCAACCUGGGAAUUGCUUUUGAUACUGCUUGGCUAGAGUUUGGUAGAGGAUAGUGGAAUUCCAGGUGUAGCGGUGAAAUGCGUAGAUAUCUGGAGGAACAUCAGUGGCGAAGGCGACUGUCUGGAUCAAAACUGACGCUGAGGUGCGAAAGCGUGGGUAGCAAACAGGAUUAGAUACCCUGGUAGAAGGGC
rnacentral:rRNA from 1 species